UGAGACUCUGAAUGAAGGCCAGCAUCUGCAAUAUAAUUGAAUUAUAUUAUAUAAGCAAAUUGAAAAAACAAAUUGAAUUGUAAAUUAUGAUAUGGAAGUAGUACUUACUGAGGCAAAGGCAGCACAAGCUAUACCGAAACUGGGGAAAUGGAAGGGUGCAUUUUGCGAUAGAAACCCUCAGCUGGAGUUUCUAUCUAUUAACUUUAUUUUCUUCCUGUGUUUCCCAGAUCGUUACCGUCAUUUCCUUAUUCAGUCACUAAGCUUCUUCUUCAUCUCAGGUAUUUGAAUUUCUAGGCAUGGACAAAUUAAAGGUAAAUGGCUCUCCGGACAUAGUUCUAGAGGACUUUUUCAGGGCUGCAGUAUCACAAUCAGACUCUUCAUAAGAUAGCACUUCAGAAUUGGAAGGUGCAAAACAUUGAAGGCCUGCUUCUAGAUGGGCUGGAUUUUUCGAGCUCUUUCGAACGAAAUCGAAGAGAUACUUGACUAAGUAUCCUCAAAAUUCUUCUCUUAAAGUACUGUCUAAAAGAUUUAGCAGGAGCAUGAGAGAGUUAGUUGGGGCUGUGAAAAGUUCCAUUGUUGAUGAUGAUUUCAAGUACUUCAAACUUCAGUGGAGGAAUUUCACCCUCUCUGAGCUCCAAGUUGCAACCAACAGUUUCUGACAAAGUUGGUAGAAUCAUUUUUCAAUCCAAUUCGCUUUAUUAAUUGAGGUAACAAAGUUUAAAAUGAAAGAAAUGAUAGAAAACUUUACAGAAUAUACACCCAAGAUCACAUGUAAAUCAUUAGACAGAGAUUCAAAACUAGAAGAAUAGUAAGAACACUAACCUUGUUCCAUUGCAAAUAACUUGAUUUUGAAUUCUUAUUUUUCUAUCAGUUGUAUGAUCUUCUAAGUUUUAAUACGCUUUCUGUAUUCUUUUCUUAGAUGGGGUAGAGAAAUAGAAAAAAUUACGUACAAACUUAGGGACCAUGUUAUUCAUAAUCUGACUCUUCUAAAAGACACCUUUUAGAUAUACCUCUUUAGAAGAAGUACCUUUUCAACUAUACCUCUUUAGAAGAGGUAUUUUUUCAAUUAAGUUUCCAUCACACUUAUGAAAAGGUGCAUGAAGUUUAUCAAAAUAAAAUGAUACUAAAUAGAUAUUUAUAUUUUAAGCCCAAAUACUUUAAUACUAUAUUAGAUCAAAAAUUAGGUUUCUUUAGAGAUAGCAUAUCUAUGAAUAAUAUAUUAAUAUGUGAGUCCACAAAAUAUAGAAUUACUAACAAGAAAAAGAUCUAUAUAGACGAUAUUGAUUAGUCAGGAUUAUUAUAUAUUCCUGAUAGAGCGUUCAAUGUUGGGUCUCAUGUUUUCUAGGAAUCUUUUAAUCACGUGAGAGAUUAAUAUACAAGUAGAAGAUAUAGAUGCCUUCUCCUACAUUUUUUUUUUUAAUUAGUUGGUAUAAGAUGACCUUAAAUAGUGUGAUAUAACGAGUGUGGAUUUAUAUGACCGAUCACGCCUUGCCUGGGAUUGGGCGUGGUUGUUGUUGUUUUGUUAAUUGAGGUAGCAUGCUUAAAGUUACAAGAGAAAAGGUCUUACAUUGUGAAGUUUCUGUUGGUUAAAUUAUGCAUUUCAUGUUGUAGAAAACUUGAUCGGAAAGGGUGGUUAUGCAGAAGUUUACAGAUGAUGUUUAAGAAGUGGACAAUUUGUUGCGAUUAAGCGGAUUAUGAGGAGACCUCAAGAUGAGAAAACAGGGGAUUUUUUGUCAGAGUUUGGAAUAAUGGCUCAUGUCAGUCAUCCAAACACUGCUAAGUUGAUUGGUUAUGCAGUUGAAGGUGAACUCUAUCUUGUUCUUAAGCUUUCUCCUCAUGGAAUCUUGGCCAAUAUGUUGCGGGGUUAAUGCUUCUUAUGGUCUCAAAUGUGGUGCGUAAUCAUUUUCUUGUUCUUGUAUGACCUUACUAAUUUGUUUAGUGUUUUAAAGUUUCAACGCAGAAACGAGACUAGAAAAUAAGGUAUAAGGCAGCUAUUGGGAUAGCUGAAGGGCUGCGAUAUCUUCACGAGGGUUGUUAAAGAAUAAUCAUUCACCAAGAUAUUAAGGCUGCAAAUAUCUUGCUUAUAGAAGACUUUGAGCCUCAGGUUGGUUCCCAUGUAAAACUAUUCCUGCUGCUAGCAAUUUGUAGAAGAAAAUCGGUUGCAACACAAUGUAGGCCAGAUGGAGUAGCACGAGCCAUCUUUGGUGAAUGACAUUUCACCAAUUGUUUGAGGGUUUAGAGGCCCAGUCUAGGGGUCAAGAGAAUCAGUAGAUCUUUCAGUCAGAGCUG